CCUAACUCGAAAUAUAUUCAGUUUGCCACCAGAGCUUGUCUGGAGCACAACUCGUUUCGGAAAUAAACAAAUUUCAAAAGGCACCCAAAAUUAAAAGUGAAGCAACGGAAAUUUAUUGGUUAACUUGGGUGAUGAUACACACCCAGACGCACACAUAAAAAGAGUCAUACUGCCAUGCAAGUUAAACAGAUGAAAGCCCUAUAUACACAUACAUACAUUUGAACGGACUGAGUGCAGUUGACACAGAUAUUAGCUGCUGCCCCGUCAAAAUGAACACAAUUGGAAACACCCAGACGCACACAUACAAAGAGUCAUACUGCCAUGCAAGUUAAACAGAUGAAAGCCCUAUAUACACAUACAUACAUUUGAACGGACUGAGUGCAGUUGAAGACACAGAUAUUAGCUGCUGCCCCGUCAAAAUGAACACAAUUGGAAACUAAUGAUGAUCGUUCCGCAUACCCUAGGUUUAGUUGACCGCCGCCUGGCCUUCUUUUUGCUAUAAGGGAAUUCAAAGCGAUGGUACCGGUCCCGCUGGACGAGAGGAUUGCAUCGCUUGAAUUAAAACUGUAAAUGCUGAUGAACCACACAUCCCAUUGAAUAUUAACCUUUCGCUUGUCCUUG
rnacentral:sRNA from 1 species